rnacentral:lncRNA from 1 species
GCUAAGACAUUCACCUUGGUUAGAACCUAAGCUUUUCAUAUAGCAUGGCAUGACCUAAAACCAACGUCAUGCUUUCACCCAUUCUGGGGAUAGUAACUUCCAUGAGUAUUUUUCCCUAGGAUUGAAAAAAAAAAAGUCCAAAGAAGAAAAAGUCAUCCAGAAGAAUGAUUGAGAAAUCCCCUUUCCUGCUUUCUAAAACAGUGAGAUGAGUAUCUGAUUUUCGAGGACUCAGAUCUCAGGAGAAAGACUAAUGGCCACUCUAGGGGAAGAUGGAGGCUGGAACUACCUCGAGAAGUGAGUGAGGAGUGGGCUCUAGCUGCACAAUUUUAUAUUAAUUGUGGAUAGACCAUGUUGGUUGUUUUGAGGCAGGGUCUCACUGUGUAGUCUUGGCUGUCUUGGGACUCUUUGUGUAGGCCAGGGUGGCCUUGAACUCACACAGAUCUGUCAGCCUCUGUGUCUCAUAUGCUGGAAUUAAAGACCUAUUCCAUUUAGUUCAAACUUAGGAAAAGGUAUGGGGGACAGAGUUUUUGUAGCCCAAGCUAUCUUUGAACUUGCUAUAUAGACAAGAAUAACUUUGAACUUCUGAUCUUUGAUCUUCCUGCCUCUACCUCCCAAGUUCUGGUGUUUCAGGCAUGCACUAGUAUGUCUAGUUGAUGUGCUGGGAAUUGAACCCAGAGUUUUGUGCAUACUAGGUAUGUGCUUUACCAACUGAACUACAUCCCAGCUGUCAAAUUCACAUUCAUGUAGGCCCCUUAAGUGGAUUCAGAUGAAGAAAUCCUUUGUACUGCCUGGCUUUGUGUUAACUUGACACACACGUGAGUCACCAGAGAGGAGAGAGCCUCAGUUGAGGAAAUGCCCUCAUGAAAUCCAGCUUUAAGGCAUUUUCCCAAUUAGUGACCAGUGGGGGAGGACAUACCUCAUUGUGAGUGGCGCCAUCCCUAGGUAGGUAAUCCUGGGCUCUAUAAGGAAGCAGGCUGAGGAAGCCAUGUGAAACCUAAGGAGUAAGCAGCACCCUCCAUGGCCUCUUCGGCUCCUGCCUCCAGGUUCCUGCCCUGUGUGAGUUCUUGUCCUGGCUUCCUUCCAUGAAGAACUGUGAUGUGGAAGUGUGAACCAAACCCUUUCCUUCCCAACUUGCCUUUUGGUCAUGGUGUUUUUGUUGUCUCCAUAAUAACCCUGAGACAUCAGUGGAGAUAUAAUCUACUCACCUGGCCUGGAGGGGCCAAAUCUUGUGAGAAUGCGUUGCAGUAGAGCUGAGGACAAAUAUGGUGCUCACACACAAGGAACUGGAGCUUUCAGCCUCAAGCAUCUUCUCAGGCAGUAUUGACCCAUGCAGGAGGGCAGACAGGCUCAGCAUGUAGCUCUAGCUGACCUGGGACUUCCUAUGUAGACCAGGCUGGACUUGAACUCAGAGAUCGGCCUCCCUCUGCUUCCUGAGUGCUGGGAUAAAAGGCAUGCACCACCAUCGCUGGCUAUAGUCCAAAUCUUUUUUUUUUUUAAGAUUUAUUUAUUAUUAUAUGUAAGUAUGCUGUAGCUGUCUUCAGACACUCCAGAAGAGGGAGUCAGAUCUCAUUAUGGAUGGUUGUAAGCCACCACGUGGUUGCUGGGAUUUGAACUCUGGACCUUCGGAAGAGCAGUCGGGUGCUCUUACCCACUGAGCCAUCUCACCAGCCCUGUAGUCCAAAUCUUAACACCGGCUUUUGGAGAUUAAAAUUCCAACAUAUUUGCAGGGCGAUGCAUUCAAACCACAGCCAAUACAACUGAUUUUAGUGUAUUGCUUUUGUAGCCUGAAAGUUAAGCAGUUUAUUCUUUACUUACAUAUUUAAAAAGGCAUUUCUAGGGUUUAUUAUUUUAUGUGUAUGAGUGUUUUGCCUGCGUGUAUGUUUGUGCACCAUGUGCAGGGCAAAGGUCAGGAGAAGACCUUAGAUUUCCAGAUUCUGGAACUGGAGUCACGGAGAGUCCUGUGUGGGUGCUGGGAAUUGAACACAGGUCUUCUGCAAGAGUGACAAGUGCUCUUAACUAAUCACCAAACCAUCUCUCCAGUCCCAAGUUUGUUUGUUUGUUUGGACAGACUCUUGGUUUGUAGCAAGUAACCUCUGGUUUGCAAGCCUCAGCCUUGGCCUUUCUUGAGAUUACAACCAUGCACCACCACAAAGGAUAUGUAUUCUUCCUGAAUGCCUGAUACCUACACCAAGACCUGCACUGAGAGAUGGAGAUAGCACACUGAAAAAGAGUGGUAAAAUAUGACACUUAGGCUGGACAGUGGUGGCUCACACUUUUAGUCCCAGCACUUCGGAGGCAGAGGCAGUCAGAUCUCUUGAGUUCAAGGCUAGCCUGGUCUACAGAUCAAGUUCCAGGACAGCCAAGGCUACGUAAAGAAACCCUGUCUCAAAAAACACAACAACAACAAUAAAGAGAUUAAGAUGUAUUUAAUCCAAAUUGGAAGGGAAUAAGUAAAAUUCUUACUGUUAACAGAUAAGUUGAAAAUCUAAAAAUUCCAUUAAAAAUAAUAAAACCAAGAGUGCUUCCAGAAAUG